AGAAGCCCUAAGCUUGCCCAAAUGGGCAGAGGGAUCCUCCUCAUCCUCCUCGUGUCACCCCCAGGUUUGAGUGGAAGAAAGAUGAAGAAGCAAAGAAGAGGAGAUGCUGCUGGAGGAAGAACUAGAUCUCCUCCUUCCCACCACCGUGCCUAGCUGGUCCUGCACAAAUGAAGCCCAGGAUGUGCAUCUUGAGUCCCAUUUGUCUUGUCUGUGCUCGGGCAUCACUGGAAGCAGAACUUGUGAAACAAAGCUGUGUCAUUUGGAUGGUGUUCAGUGCAGAUUUUGCUUUCAGAAGAUUACACUUUUCUACACAUAUCUGAGCCCUGAAUAUUGCCUCACUCUUCAUCCAAGAGAGAUAAUCAGGUUGUCAGAAAUGAAAGAUUCUUCUUCUUAUUACUAUUUAUGCUAUAUCUUCAAAAGAGGAAAGCUUCAUUUUUGAGGAGGCUGAAUUGGCUGCUGCUGGCUUGAGUAACUGAGGACAUCAGAAAUAAACCCUUGUCUUUCUGGGGACUGAACCAAGAAAAGGUCCUGAUAGCUUGGUGAGACAGAAGACACAGAGCUUUGUGGAUGUAGAAGGGAUGGUGGAGGGUUUAAUUGUGCUGGUGUCACUGGCAUGCCCUAAAAAGUGCAAAGCUGAAUCUGCCUCUGAGCGGAAUCACAGAACCCUAAACUGGUUUGGGUUGGAAGGAACCUUCAUGAUCAUCUACUUCCAACCCCCUGCCAUGGGCAGGGAUCACCUACUGGAGCAGCUUGCUCAAGGCUACAUCCAACCUGCUUUUGAGCACUGCCAGGCUUGGAGCCUCUACAGCAUCUCUGAACAACCUGUUAAAGUGCCUCACUGCCCUCACUGGCAAGAAUGCCUUCCUCAGGCCUCCUCUUAACCCAGCUUCUUCCA